GUAGGUAUGAUGGAAUUGGUAGACAUGUUUGACUCAAAAUCAAAUGAUUAAAUUCGUGAGGGUUCGACUCCCUCUACCUACA
rnacentral:tRNA from 1 species